UGUAGGUGCAGAGAAAAAAAUAUAAGUUGGUUCCGGCCAAAAAACAUAACUCCUUGACCUUCACAGCGUUUCUAAUUAACUAAGUUAGACUUUGUUCCAAGAGUAAGGCCAAUCAAAGUGUCAUGACUAAAUUUGUGUGUGCACUUCUUCUCAUAUUUGUCAUGGCUUUUGUGACUCAAGUUGCUUAUGGUGGUGGAGAAGGAUCACUUACGCCCCAAGAAUGUCCGGGGGCAUGCGAUUAUCGUUGUUCAAAGGCUCGGGCUAGGAAGGCGUGUUUGUACUUCUGUAACUUGUGCUGUGCAAAAUGUUUGUGUGUUCCAUCGGGAACCU